rnacentral:rRNA from 1 species
CGCGGCCUAUCAGCUUGUUGGUGGGGUAACGGCCCACCAAGGCAUCGACGGGUAGCUGGUCUGAGAGGACGAUCAGCCACACUGGGACUGAGACACGGCCCAGACUCCUACGGGAGGCAGCAGUGGGGAAUAUUGCGCAAUGGGCGAAAGCCUGACGCAGCAACGCCGCGUGGGGGACGAAGGCCUUCGGGUUGUAAACCCCUUUCAGCAGGGACGAAAAUGACGGUACCUGCAGAAGAAGCCCCGGCCAACUACGUGCCAGCAGCCGCGGUAACACGUAGGGGGCAAGCGUUGUCCGGAUUUAUUGGGCGUAAAGAGCUCGUAGGCGGUUGCGUAAGUCGGAUGUGAAAACUCAGGGCUCAACCCGGAGACGCCAUCCGAUACUGCGCUGACUAGAGUCCGGUAGAGGAGCAUGGAAUUCCUGGUGUAGCGGUGAAAUGCGCAGAUAUCAGGAGGAACACCAGUGGCGAAGGCGGUGCUCUGGGCCGGUACUGACGCUGAGGAGCGAAAGCGUGGGUAACGAACAGGAUUAGAUACCCUGGUAGUCCACGCCGUAAACGUUGGGCACUAGGUGUGGGGCCUCCUUAACGGGUUCCGUGCCGUAGCUAACGCAUUAAGUGCCCCGCCUGGGGAGUACGG